CUAGUCCUCUGAAGUGCCAAGGCAUCCACAGAUCAAAUCUGCAACAAUUGCUCUGCAAAACCUGCUCCUAACCUGGCUGCACUCCGGCAUCCCCCAAACCUUCAGUGCUGGCAUCACUCUAAAAAUGUCACUGUCAGCCGAGUCUGGGGUGGCUUGAGGGACCAAGAGAUGGAGCUGAGGGACAUGACUCAGAGCCUGACGUAGAUGCAGUGAGUGCAGAUCAGGCGGCACCAGUGUUAAGGGCCACAGAAGAUCACAGCCCCCACCCCGCGCCUCUUCCACGCCCCGGGGCAGUUUUCCAGGCGGGUCCUGCAGUUGGCACAUGAAGCAGAAAGUACACCGCGUACUUUUUAGCUUCCUAGCGGUAAGGUGCCCCCGAGGCCGUAAUACGGUUGGGAGACAACGCGCCGGCUCUGAAUGAGUGUAAGUUUCGUCCCGCCCUUACCCAAUUAUACGGCAAUAUGAUUUGAUGGACAGCCGAUUCCUCCAAUGAGUGAAACGGGUGUGUGUUCGGCCCUCCUCUCUGCUUUUUUUUAUCCUGCAUGGGUUGGGACAUGGCUGGGGCAGGUCUCCGCUGUCCGAUUUGAUUUUCAAAUUUAGGGACUGAUUAGAUCCUUUGUUCUUGACUAGGGCUCAGCUACUAACCCGCACAAUUGCUGACACGCCUUCAGAAAAGAGGAAUUGGUUCAGUAAACAUCCUGUUGAGGAAGUUUAUAUCAAAAAUUAAACACUUGCAGUUUAGCUGAUAUACGGACACAAACGUGUCUUGCCAUGGAUACGUUUGUCCGUGUACGGACAGGUUUAAGAUGCUUGUCUUCUGACUUGGGUAGUUCAAAGGACCAUUUCAGUACAACGUAACUACGGCCCCCUAGUGGUGAGAAAGUGACUAACUUACCGAGGUCAAUGGUCCCCUGUACUCUACCAACUUUAAUCAAACUUUGUUUUGCAUCUAUUCUUUUUUAUUAUCACAAACAGUGGAUUACAUAGUACAUAUUUAUUAAUGUUUUUACUUCAUUUAGGGCCAGCGGGGGCAUAUUGGCUAAACACAUUGAUCAUAAAGUUUCCCGUGAAAGAGGUUCUUAACACAAAAUCCAUCCAUCCAGUUUCCAAACCGCUUAUCCUAUUGGGUCGCGGGGGGUCCGGAGCAAUGGGCACGAGGCAGGGAACAACCCAGGAUGGGGGGCCAGCCCAUCGCAGCUUAACACAAAAUGAUCCAAUAAAAAUUCUAACGAUUAAAUAUGUAAAAUAGUAAGAGUCAGUUAAGCAAAUAUAGGUACAAAUGUUCCAUUGAUGCAAGUGACCAAAUGCGGUACCAACAUUAUCACUGCAUAACAUACAAAGAGUUAUUAUAGUCCAGAAACAGCAGAGGUAUGGUAAUCAAUCUGAAGGUUUAAAACAAACUUUCGGACCAACAUUUAACAUCAAUAUGAAUAUAUGCUUAUUUUGAUUCCGAAUUUCAAUUGCCGUGACUCGAAUAAGCUGCCGGAAGAUGGAUAGCGAUAGAUAUCCAUAGAAACGAACAGAUAGCGAUGUAGCGUAGGUUACUAAGAAAUACAUACAUUUUGCCAUUAGAGGGCAACAAAUUCACAGGAAACGUCACAUUGGCUCAUUUUUUUAAAACAAGACAGCAUAUACUUCGUCAGUUUUCAUAGCUUUAGUGUACGACACCACAUCCGGCCUUAAUCAUUUUAAAGGUCAUUUUUUAUAUAUAUUUUGUGCACAUUUUAUUUAUUUUUUGCUUGUUAAUUAAAGUGGUUCAGCUUAUGUCUGGAAACCCAGUAACCAGGUCUUAUAUUUCACCUACAAAUUAGAGGUAAUUCAGUUGCUCACCACUACAUCAUUGUGGGUUUAUGUUCGUGUACAUGAAUGUGUGUUUGAGUGUUUGGUGAAGCACGGGUGACUGUAUGAUUCCAGGUAGCAGUACAGCACCUUGUGAUUUACACAUUUUGUCCAAAUGCUCUUAUUUGGACUCCUUGAUAUGAAGGCCUUGAGCAGUUGAGUGGUGACGUUUUCCUUUCCUGUACCUUCUACUCAGUUGGGAGGUCAGAAGUCCCAGAAGACCCAGAAUGCCUGGGAGAUGGGCUUUUAUACGGCUUGGCUCUCCCCGCGUUUGCCCCCAUUGGCAGCCUGUGCACAAGGACGGGUCCGGUCCCUUCAUGCAUGCUUGUGUUCCGCUCUUCUGGAAUAUUCCGGUUCUCUGAGAUUCAAGUCGGUGUCGGUUUCAUAAUAUGUGAUGUCUGUCAGGCCUGUUGGGAUUUCGCUUUGCCGAUGGCCGGUAUAUCGAAAGGCAGACUGCCCCCAAAGCUUGCGAUUAUUCUCCAGCAAUGGCAGGCCUGCCUUUAAACCUAAUUCCAUCUGUAGAGGCGCCAUUGCAGGUGGACGCUCCAGCCUGUUUUGGCAAUUUAAAUUAGAAUGCUAAUUAAUCAGAGCGACAGCGAGGAAUCACACAGAGAUCUGAAGUUGUUCCUCUUAUUGAUGAUGCCCUCUUGAAUUUUCAUUUAUUCGUUUUACUGCUGCAUGCGGGGCCGCUUAUAUGGCAAAUCAGACAGUAAUCAGUGACAGAGGCAUGUAAGGUCAGUUCUGACCUGGGACCAGUUGGCAAAACGCUCCAAUGGGGUUUGAGUGCCAAGGAACAGCUUUCCCUCUUGUGCCAAUUUUUAUCUUCACAGGGUUUUUUUCCAGCCUGGAAAGGAGUCAGUCAGCUGGAAUCCCAACGUGAACUCUGUCUGCAGUGGGAUGGCGCUGGCCGGUGUCCGGGGACAGCUGGGCAGGUGCGUGUGUGUGUUUUACACGGGUUUACUGUUUUACAUGGGUUUACUGGCCUCGUGUCGACAGAUUUUGAGAAGAUGUCCCCUCAAACAUCGUAACUUCUGAGAAACAGAUGGUUUAGAGAUGCCUUUCUUACAUUUCCAUCUGCUUUCACAAAACUGACAGUGCAGUAAUAUUUUCUUGCUCUCAGUUUUUCAUUGUCCUUAUGUUUUGUUGGAAUAUGAAUGAAAAUGAUGGACUUUUUCAUAAUAAAACAGAUUGUGAUAUAUAUGAAUAAAGGAGUGUGUGUGCGUGUGCUCAGAGAGAGAGAUAGUGUGUGUGUGCUCAGAGAGAGAGAGAGUGUGUGUGUCUGUGUGUGUGCUCAGAGAAAGUGUGUGUGCUGAGAGAGAGAGAGAGAGCGAGUGUGUGUUUGUGCUCAGAGAGAGAGAGAGAUAGUGUGUGUGUGCUCAGAGAGAGAGAGAGUGUGUGUGUCUGUGUGUGUGCUCACAGAUAGUGUGUGUGCUGAGAGAGAGAGAGAGAGAGAGAGCGAGUGUGUGUUUGUGCUCAGAGAGAGAGAAAGAGUGUGUGUGUCUGUGUGUGUGCUCAGAGAAAGUGUGUGUGCUGAGAGAGAGAGAGAGAGAGCGAGUGUGUGUAUGUGCUCAGAGAGAGUGGGUGUGUGUAUGUGCUUAGAGAGACAGAGUGUGUGUGUGUGUGUGCUCAGAGAGAGAGUGUGUGUAUGUGCUCAGAGAGAGAGAGAGUGUGUGUAUGUGCUCAGAGAGAGAGAGUGUGUAUGUGCUCAGAGAGAGAGAGUGUGUGUAUGUGCUCAGAGAGACAGAGUGUGUGUGUGUAUGUGCUCAGAGAGAGUGUGUGUGUGUGUGUAUGUGUGCUCAGAGAGACAGAGAGUGUGUGUGUGUGUGUGUGCUCAGAGAGACAGAGAGUGUGUGUGUGUGUGUGCUCAGAGAGACAGAGAGUGUGUGUGUGUGUGUGCUCAGAGAGACAGAGAGAGUGUGUGUAUGGCCCUGGUAGAAGGCCAGCACUGUCGACUGUACUGACUUCCUCUAGACUCAAAUACAGUAGUUGUCUUUGCACAAGAUACCACAUUUUAAUUAUUUUUGGUUUGCUCUUUGUAAUCAGAACAAAUUGGAAGAAGCCCUUUCUAUCUUCUCUGUGCCCCCAAACCUUUCAGGAUGUUUCUUUAAUAGUGGCGAUAAGCAACCCAUGGCGGAAAACCUCUUAUUUACGGAGAAAACAAAGACACUCCUUGGUUAACUAGUGGAACAACACAAUUAUUCAGUGUUCGUACAAACAGAGAUAAUUGGUUUACCUCUAGUUAUGGCGUUUCAGAUCAUCAUGCUAUGAGUAGGUUUAUUGGAACAUUUAUUGGGGGAGGGGGGCGUCUUUUCUUCCACUGCUGUAAAGAGUGCAAAUAUGGCAUUGAAAAUUAUUAUUACUAUCUUCAUCGUCCUUAUUAUUUAUUUGCUUAGCUGACAUAUUUGUCCAAACAGGGCACGAAACUGGCACUGAACAUUAGUCUGUAUAUGCUUACAUAUUCACACAGUUGGACCUGUUUACUAAAAUCAUUGUGCAUAAGUGCUUCUGUCAAGGGCUACAGCACUGAGUCGGCUUCGAUUCUGCUGUCUUCCCAUCACUAAUGACAAUGUCCUGUAUAUAACGUUCCUUAUUUUCACUGGCAAUAAAAGGCCGAAAGACGCAGA